rnacentral:rRNA from 1 species
GAUGGACGCUGGCGGCGUGCCUAAUACAUGCAAGUCGAGCGAACAGACGAGGAGCUUGCUCCUCUGACGUUAGCGGCGGACGGGUGAGUAACACGUGGAUAACCUACCUAUAAGACUGGGAUAACUUCGGGAAACCGGAGCUAAUACCGGAUAAUAUAUUGAACCGCAUGGUUCAAUAGUGAAAGACGGUUUUGCUGUCACUUAUAGAUGGAUCCGCGCCGCAUUAGCUAGUUGGUAAGGUAACGGCUUACCAAGGCAACGAUGCGUAGCCGACCUGAGAGGGUGAUCGGCCACACUGGAACUGAGACACGGUCCAGACUCCUACGGGAGGCAGCAGUAGGGAAUCUUCCGCAAUGGGCGAAAGCCUGACGGAGCAACGCCGCGUGAGUGAUGAAGGUCUUCGGAUCGUAAAACUCUUUUAUUAGGGAAGAACAAAUGUGUAAGUAACUAUGCACGUCUUGACGGUACCUAAUCAGAAAGCCACGGCUAACUACGUG